GGUCCCAUCGUCUAGUGGCCCAGGAUACCAGGUUCUCACCCUGGAGACACGGGUUCGACUCCCGUUGGGAUCACCA
rnacentral:tRNA from 1 species